rnacentral:rRNA from 1 species
AAUUGUUCACAAUGGGCGCAAGCCUGAUGACGCAACGCCGCGUGGGGGAUGAAGGUCUUCGGAUUGUAAACCCCUGUCGAAUGGGACGAAUGGCCUCUGGGCUAAUCACCGGAGGAAUGACGGUACCGUUAAAGGAAGCCACGGCUAACUCGGUGCCAGCAGCCGCGGUAAUACAGAGGUGGCAAGCGUUGUUCGGAAUUACUGGGCGUAAAGGGCGCGUAGGCGGCCAUCUAAGUCAGACGUGAAAUCCCCCGGCUUAACCUGGGAACUGCGUCCGAUACUGGUUGGCUUGAAUCCGGGAGAGGGAUGUGGAAUUCCAGGUGUAGCGGUGAAAUGCGUAGAUAUCUGGAGGAACACCGGUGGCGAAGGCGACAUCCUGGACCGGCAUUGACGCUGAGGCGCGAAAGCCAGGGGAGCAAAC